GGCAGAGACAUAGGCAGAGGGAGAAGCAGGCUCCCUACAGGGAGCUCAACGUGGGAUUCAAUCCCAGGACCCCCGAAUCACACCCUGAGCCGAAGGCAGAUGCCCAACUGCUGAGCCACCCAGACAGCUCAGUUUAGACAAGAGCCAAGUGAAGCAACAGUUAACAAUUGAGUCAGCAGUCUGUAGUAAAUGUCACAAAGGAAGGAUAUGAGUGGGCUGUGGGAUCAGACUUGAGGCGCACCCAAAUCCAAGCCAGGAGAGAUCAUGGGAGGCUUGGUAGGGGUGUUCCAGCAGGGCGCUAAGACAUGAGGCGUUCCCAGGCAAACACGGACAGGGGAGACACUCCUGCUGGCAGGAAGAGCAUGUGGGCUGGGAAAGAGAAUGGUGUGCUCAAGAAAUAUUUUAUUUAUUUAUUCAUGAGAGAGAGAGAGGCAGAGACACAAGGCAGAGGGAGCUCCUUGCAGGGAGCCCGACGUGGGACUCGAUCCUGGAUCUCCAGGAUCACGCCCUGGACUAACGGCAGGGCCAAACCGCUGAGCCACCGGGACUGCCCUACGGAGAGGUUUCUGAAGAGGGAAGCCAUUCCUGGUGCUGGUCACCCAUGACGUCAACCUCAGGACACCAAACUCCAAGAACCAUGAAGGGAGGCUGGGGGCCAGGCGAGAGAGCCAUGUCAGCCCUGAGGUGCACAUGGGGAGCCGUGCUGUGUGGUGAGAUGGGCCAGAAAUGUAAUUCUCAUCUGUGAUCUCCUACCUUUAUUAAAGCCUUGGUUGUCUCACUAG